AUCUGAUAUUGUGAAAGAGCCCUUUCUGCAAAAGGGAUACCAAGAACGUGGUGAGGAGAGGUGGUUGCCUGUUUUCCCUCGCUAGAUAAAAGGAGGCCACGAGUCUUUUUGCAGUUCCACUCAGGAGCCAAUAAAAUAGAAACAAAACACACAUGUGCCAAGAGUUAAGGGACAAGGCGGAAGUGGCUUAGGUUUGUGGUCUGUUACCACAUGACAACAUUGAGUUGGAGCCAAGGUAUUUUCUGUUCUCUCCAGUCUCUGGAUGUUGGAAGGCUCUGCUUUGGAACAGAGGGGAUCAGCAUGUCACAGAAGAGGAACUCCAUGCCUGGCGCAGGGGUGUGAAAGCGUCAAGGAAGACACAUUUCAGCAAACUGAAGAGUUAGGAAAUUUAAAGUUUCCCCUCUGAAAGGAUGUCAGAAUCUGCAAAAAUGGGCAGUGCAACAAAGAUCAAACAAUCUGAAGAGCCAACACUUUCCUGGUUUAUCCACAAUCCGUUGAAUAAGAAGUAAGAAGUGUGACUGCUUCACAUGGGACUGUAGCCAAACCCAACCUGAAAGAACUCGUUUUGCAAACAUCUCCCAAAUGCAGAAGCUUUCCUGGUUGUUCGUUUCUAAAUGAACAAAUAAAAGGUUUCAGUAUGAACAAUGUC